GUGGCACUCUGAAAGUCCUAUAAUUCCCAAUAUACAGAUGAGGAAACUGAGGUUAAGUGACUUAGCCAAGGUCACGUAGGAAAUCAAUAACCACUCCGGCCCGGGUAGGCAGCACCUCUCACUGACUUCACGUGACUCCGACUCCCGCGAGCGAGCUGUCGGCGCUGACCAAGUGGGAAUACCAUCCCACCGUCCUACCGGUCCCAGUGAAGGAAACACGGGAUGAACACUGUGUGGUGUUACUAACCAGGUGCACCCCUGUUCCAGCACAGCUGGGCUGUGGGAGCACGGUCGCGGUGUUUAUUCAAGCUUUGCAGCUCUAAUGAACGUCCCCAGGCCUCAGAUGAGGCCUAGCCAUACAGACCGGGGUGGUCGGUGGUCUCCAACCCCAACCAGAGCAACGCUGCUUAAGUGUCCCUGACAGACGGGUGUCAUCUUGCUCGCAGGAUCCUCAAAAGUCCCCUGCUGUCCCAGUUUAUCCCAGUGCCCUCUGCCAUCUGUCAUAGCACCGUUGCUUUCCUGUGGCACGGCAGGCAGGAGCCCGAAUCCCAUACGCUCCAUCUGUGUAAGGUGCUCUGGUUGUACUUCACAGUGUGUUUCUUGUCAUCUGCAGCUUGCGUCUGAAGAUGCAGCAAGAGUGUCUCUCCUGCAGGUGGUGUGAUCCCGGGGCAGGAUUGUCUUCUGGCAGGAGAGGGCCUCGCGCGGGACCUGCCUUCGAUGACGAGUAAAUGGUACAAAAGCACAGCAAGCAACCUGGAGCCCGCUGUCUGAACAAGCACGUGUUGGGAUUAACCUGUUGCCAAACGUCUUCACUGUAUUUUCUGUAGUGCUUCCUGCAGCCGCACCUGACAGUUCUCCAGAAGGCUGACGAGAAGCAGUUAAUGAUAAGGUGUUGUUCUUGAUACCAAGCUCCUUCCUACUUUGCUCUAAGGUCUCUCGAGGAUAGUGUGCACUUCACGUUCGUCUCUUUUCUGAUCAGCAUUUCUACACUCAUUUGUCACUUUCCAGACCUCUGACAUCCUCUCUCCUCUUUAACUUAACCUGCAGCAAAAGGAGAAACCUUCUCAGGAAGGGUGCAGGUGGACUUGGGGGUCUCUGGAUGAAGGCUGAAAUGCUCAUCUGGGCAGGAAGCAAUCAAAGAGGAGUCAGUCCUUGUAUGCCAGAUCUUAAACCGUACGUUGGCAGUUCACACACACAGCGGCGUAGCAGCAUCAGAGAGGAUCCUAAUUGCUUGGAGCCUGGCUCAUGCAACUUGCUGGUGGCACAGAAGAUCUUCCUCUGCAGACUGGAUCCCGGACAGCAUUUCCAUCCCUGCACCUCCAAUUGCCAGUGUCUAGGCUAUGGUUUGGUUACACAAACAUAAGCAACAACUGACCUGAGCAUGGAAAUCAUAACGUAUGUCCUUUUAAUCAAUUAUGUCGUGUUUGUUGUUGUUUAAAAGUAAGCACGUAGGUGGUUACCAUGAUUUAGCUGGGAUAUAGUAACUCGUUAUCUAGGUGAAACAUGUUGGAGCUUGACUGAACUCAAGAUUAACUAGUAUAACCAAAUACAACAUAUGCUGCAUGCUGUU